UCACGUAGUGAGACAACGGAGCCGCUUGCGGCGACGGCCCGAAGGGCGAGGCGAAGCCGAGUCAUCCUGCACGACCCACCA
rnacentral:sRNA from 1 species